AACGCACAUUGCGCCCGCCAGCAUUCUGGCGGGCAUGCCUGUUCGAGCGUCAUUUCGACCCUCAAGCCCCUAGCGGCUUGGUGUUGGGGUGUUUUCUACGGUUCUCAGCCGUAGGCCCCGAAAUCCAGUGGCGGGCCUGACGGGACCCCGAGCGCAGUAAUUUUCUCUCGCUUUGGGCGUCGCGGCGGGCGACUAGCCGUAAAACCCGCAGGUGCUCUUGUGGCCCUGUAACACACCAAGGUUGACCUCGGAUCAGGUAGGAAUACCCGCUGAACUUAA
rnacentral:misc_RNA from 1 species